CAUACUUGCCCUCACUUAGACCACAGUUCAUUGCUGAGAGCGUUGUUCUGA
rnacentral:snoRNA from 1 species